GGGAUUGCCCCAGUAACGGCGAGUGAAGCGGCAACAGCUCAAAUUUGAAAUCUGGCCCCCAGGGCCCGAGUUGUAAUUUGCAGAGGAUGCUUUUGGUGAGGCACCUACCGAGUCCCCUGGAAUGGGGCGCCACAGAGGGUGAGAGCCCCGUAUGGUAGGACGCCGAACCUCUGUAAAGCUCCUUCGACGAGUCGAGUAGUUUGGGAAUGCUGCUCUAAAUGGGAGGUAAAUUUCUUCUAAAGCUAAAUACCGGCCAGAGACCGAUAGCGCACAAGUAGAGUGAUCGAAAGAUGAAAAGCACUUUGAAAAGAGGGUUAAAAAGUACGUGAAAUUGUUGAAAGGGAAGCGCUUGUGACCAGACUUGCGCCGGGCGGAUCAUCCAGCGUUCUCGCUGGUGCACUCCGCCCGGCUCAGGCCAGCAUCGGUUUUCGCCGGGGGACAAAGGCUUCGGGAACGUGGCUCUCUUCGGGGAGUGUUAUAGCCCGUUGCGUAAUACCCCGGCGGGGACCGACGACCGCGCUUCGGCAAGGAUGCUGGCGUAAUGGUCAUCAGCGACCCGUCUUGAAACACGGACCGAGGAGUCAAGCAUUAGUGCGAGUGUUUGGGUGUAAAACCCGCACGCGUAAUGAAAGUGAACGUAGGUGAGAGCUUCGGCGCAUCAUCGACCGAUCCUGAUGUUUUCGGAAGGAUUUGAGUAGGAGCAUUAACGCUUGGACCCGAAAGAUGGUGAACUAUACUUGAAUAGGGUGAAGCCAGAGGAAACUCUGGUGGAGGCUCGCAGCGGUUCUGACGUGCAAAUCGAUCGUCAAAUUUG
rnacentral:rRNA from 1 species